UUGGGAACAAAAGUUUAUAUGUAAAAUAGAUUUGAAAACAUUUUUUUAACGGCGUUGUACAUAUUUUUUUUUUUUUCAAUCUAGUAAUAUAUGUCUAUUUUGGAAAAUUAAAAUUUCAACAUAUGUAAAAAAAAUGUUGAAUUUGUAUUAUACAUUUGUAUUAUAUAUUGUAAUAUAAUAAAUUUAAAAUAAGAACACAUAAAUUUAAAAGGAGAAUUAUUUUUAAUUAGUUAGAGAAAUAUUAGGAAAUCAAAUAUUAG
rnacentral:lncRNA from 1 species